GGUAAAAUGGCCGAGAUUAGGCGAUAAAUUGUAAAUUUAUUUACGAAAAAUAAUUUCUUUUACCA
rnacentral:tRNA from 1 species